UCUCUCUCUCUCUCUCUCUCUCUCUCUCUCUCUCUCUCUCUCUCAACCUUCAAAUUCCCUGAGUAGGGAGGAUCUUUUCACCUGCUACAGAGAGUCACCGGCAAAGCGGCCUUACCAUCUGUGGCCGCCAAACUCUUUUCCCCUUCAAGUGGAAGAGUGUUUUCUACACGGGCGGCAGAGGACGACUCACAGCAAAGUUUAAAGCCAUUUAACACAUCCGAUAACGUACUCAACGUGAGGCCGGGUGGACGAGAAGCACAUCUAUACAUCAACAAAGACCUGCUGCUGUGUGUGUGUGUGGCCUUGGCCUUUGACGUCAAUCAUCUUAUCUAUCGAGGCGGUGGGAUUCUGGAUGACUUUUAUGUCUGUUACUUUGAUGGCAGAAAGGGCCCUAAAUGGCCUGAAGGAAUUUGAG